rnacentral:rRNA from 1 species
AACGAACGCUGGCGGCAUGCCUAACACAUGCAAGUCGAACGAGACCUUCGGGUCUAGUGGCGCACGGGUGCGUAACGCGUGGUAACCUGCCCUUAGGUUCGGAAUAACUCCUCGAUAGGGGUGCUAAUACCGGAUAAUUUCUUCGGACCAAAGAUUUAUCGCCUUUGGAUGGGCCCGCGUUGGAUUAGCUAGUUGGUAGGGUAAAAGCCUACCAAGGCGACGAUCCAUAGCUGGUCUGAGAGGAUGAUAAGCCACACUGGGACUGAGACACGGCCCAGACUCCUACGGGAGGCAGCAGUGGGGAAUAUUGGACAAUGGGCGAAAGCCUGAUCAAGCAAUGCCGCGUGAGAGAUGAAGGCCUUAGGGUUGUAAAGCUCUUUUACACGGGAUGAUAAUGACAGUACCGGGAGAAUAAGCUCCGGCUAACUCCGUG